rnacentral:rRNA from 1 species
GACGAACGCUGGCGGCGUGCUUAACACAUGCAAGUCGAACGAAGAGCGACGGAAGCUUGCUUCUAUCAAUCUUAGUGGCGCACGGGUGAGUAACGCGUAAUCAACCUGCCCUUCAGAGGGGGACAACAGUUGGAAACGACUGCUAAUACCGCAUACGAUCUAACCUCGGCAUCGAGGAUAGAUGAAAGGUGGCCUCUACAUGUAAGCUAUCACUGAAGGAGGGGAUUGCGUCUGAUUAGCUAGUUGGAGGGGUAACGGCCCACCAAGGCGAUGAUCAGUAGCCGGUCUGAGAGGAUGAACGGCCACAUUGGGACUGAGACACGGCCCAGACUCCUACGGGAGGCAGCAGUGGGGAAUCUUCCGCAAUGGACGAAAGGCUGACGGAGCAACGCCGCGUGAGUGAUGACGGCCUUCGGGUUGUAAAGCUCUGUUAAUCGGGACGAAAGGCCUUCCUGCGAAUAGUGAGAAGGAUUGACGGUACCGGAAUAGAAAGCCACGGCUAACUACGUG